UCGUACGCUAGCCGCUGAAUUGAUCCUUCGGGUGAAGUGAGGCAAUGACUAGAGUGGCGAACUGGUGAGUAACACGUAAGAAACCUGCCCUUUAGUGGGGGAUAACAUUUGGAAACAGAUGCUAAUACCGCGUAACAACAAAUCACACAUGUGAUCUGUUUGAAAGGUCCUUUUGGAUCGCUAGAGGAUGGUCUUGCGGCGUAUUAGCUUGUUGGUAGGGUAGAAGCCUACCAAGGCAAUGAUGCGUAGCCGAGUUGAGAGACUGGCCGGCCACAUUGGGACUGAGACACUGCCCAAACUCCUACGGGAGGCUGCAGUAGGGAAUUUUCCGCAAUGCACGAAAGUGUGACGGAGCGACGCCGCGUGUGUGAUGAAGGCUUUCGGGUCGUAAAGCACUGUUGUAAGGGAAGAAUAACUGAAUUCAGAGAAAGUUUUCAGCUUGACGGUACCUUACCAGAAAGGGAUGGCUAAAUACGUGCCAGCAGCCGCGGUAAUACGUAUGUCCCGAGCGUUAUCCGGAUUUAUUGGGCGUAAAGCGAGCGCAGACGGUUUAUUAAGUCUGAUGUGAAAUCCCGAGGCCCAACCUCGGAACUGCAUUGGAAACUGAUUUACUUGAGUGCGAUAGAGGCAAGUGGAACUCCAUGUGUAGCGGUGAAAUGCGUAGAUAUGUGGAAGAACACCAGUGGCGAAAGCGGCUUGCUAGAUCGUAACUGACGUUGAGGCUCGAAAGUAUGGGUAGCAAACGGGAUUAGAUACCCCGGUAGUCCAUACCGUAAACAAUGGGUGCUAGUUGUUAAGAGGUUUCCGCCUCCUAGUGACGUAGCAAACGCAUUAAGCACCCCGCCUGAGGAUUACAGCCGCAACGCUAAAGCUUAAAGGAAUUGACGGGGGACCCCGCACAAGACGUUGGACGCAUGUGGGUUUAAUUUCGAAAAAUAGACGAAGAAACCUUAGCCAGGGUCCUUGAUCUUACUAAUAGAACCGCUGUUGGAAUGAAAGCUUUUCUUCGUAACAUUGGAUACAGGUGGUGC
rnacentral:rRNA from 1 species